rnacentral:rRNA from 1 species
UAGCGAAGGGGCUAGCGUUGCUCGGAAUCAUGCUAGGGCGUAAGCGCACGUUAGGCGGGUCGUUAAGUCGGGGUGAAAUCCUGAGCUCAACUCCCAGAACUGCUCCGAUACUGGCGAUCUUGGAGUCCGGGGAGAGGUGAGUGGAACUCCGAGUGUAAGAGGUGAAAUUCGUAGAUAAUCGGAAGAACACCAGUGGCGAAGGCGGCUCACUGGCCCGGUACUGACGCUGAGGUGCGAAAGCGUGGGGAGCAAACAGG